UUCAGGAAUGCUCCAACCCCCACAGCCCCCAGACCAACAAAGAUUAGUAAAUAGGUUUUGAUCUCUCCAGAGCAAGGAAAGCAUCUUCUGAUCAUACCUGUUUUUAAACUACAGAGAUUGUGGGGUGGAGAAGGGGUGGGGGAAACGGGAUUUAGUUCUACUGCAUGAAGUGUUUUAAGAUUUCCAACACAAGCCUGUUUUGCAUCAUGAAGAAAUCAAGAAUUGUUAGUUUUUCAUGAAAGAGAAGCACCAGAAGUAGAGCCAGAACACCUUGGAAGUUCGAGCACAAACUUGGAAUGUCAGAGAUUCGGAUUGAAGUCCAUGUCCUAUCCAAUUCAUAGUUUCAUAGUUGUUAGGGGCUGGAGGGGACCUUACAGAUCAUUGGGUUUAGCCCCCCUGCAUUUGGGCAGGAAAGACUGCUGGGCUCAGAUGACCACAGCAAGGUAGGCAUCAAGAUGCUUUUUGAAGAUUGCCAGGGGGGUGAUUGUACCACCUCUGGGGGGAAACAGGAUUCAAAUGAGACCCCAAGUGCAACAGUUUCUCAGCUGCUGUUUCACAUAGUUUAUGUUCAUAUUUAGCAUCUGUCCUACACGUAAGACUACGUUAAAAAAAAAAUAACAACAACAGUGUAUUUUCCAAAUAAGGCAUGAUGUUAUUUAAAAAUAAGGACCACAAACUGGAAUCUAAUGAAGUUAGCCAAGCAACCUGUCCUCUACUGAUGCAAGAUGUUUCUCAUUCAGACUGUAUUCAAAAUCUGUACCUAUAUUCUCUAUCUCAUGAGUGCCCUAAUCAUUGGGAUAUGGACUAUUCAGGGGUAGGGUUUUUUGCCAUUUGAUCAAAAAUUGCAUCCUAGAUGUCAGACACCUUUUCUGAUAAAAGCUAACUUUGGAUUCAUAUGUUUCCUCAAUGUUUGAGUACUGCAGAAAAAUCAUUAUUCAACAUUUUUUUUCCAAAUGAAAAAUCCUUCUUCAAAUAUACUGUUUCUGUUUCAUCCAGAAAUAACUGCUAAAAAUAGUCAAAUAGAAAACAAUAAAAAUAAUAAAUAAUUAAAAAGUAAUUAUACAGUUUUUAGAAAAAAACAAAAAACAAAUAGAAGAGACUGCCAUAGGAACAAAUGCUAGCCUCAAAUUACACAAGUGAGCCAGAACCAAGCUUUUAUGAAAGAGGGGCACUGUGGAGGAUAUACUGGAGAGGGAGAAAGAUGAUAAGAAGGAAAUAAAGGACUGAAAGUGAGGGAGAAAAGGUAAAUCAUAAAAUCAGCAUGUCUGAGGAGAAUAGAAAGAAAGAAAAUAAACUGUCUUGAGCAAGGAAUUCAAGUAGGAAAGAACACUAGGAAGUCUGAAAAAGGAUAGAACAGGGUAAAGGAUGAAAGGAAGAGAAAAAAUGAUGGAAGAGAUGAAACACAGAUUAUUUAAUUUAGAAGGACUGAGGGUGGCAAGAUGUAGGAACAGGUUGUUGGGGUAAAAAAAAUAGAAAAAUGUUUUGACUGAAGACUAAAUGGAAAGAAACAAGAUCAUUUUCUUUCCAAGGAGUUUCAAGUUAUUUGUGAACAUGUGAGAUGAUGAGGAAUUUGUGCAUAGAAUCUAGAUAAAAUAUCAAUUUUAAAUUAACCACUAUAAAACACAAGCUUUUGGAAAAAAUGUAGGGGAAUGAAUAUAAUUAAAUUAUAGUUAAAGUUAAGUAAUACAAUGGUUGUUCAGAGUAGCACUAACUUAAAACUCUGGAUAAAGAGAAGUACUUCGUGGACUUGUGGUUUACAGGUUUUCCUGGUGUUAAACUUUUUUGGCUGGAAUGUUCAAGGGAGCAUUAAGAUGCUUAAAUGUCAUUGGCAUUCAUCAAUAGCUGACAGCAUAAUUCUCCAAGCUCUUUUGAAAAUUAUCACACUGUUAAUACAUAAAUGACUAUGAGGAAGUAAAAAGAUGUUUCUGCCUGAGCUAUCAGUUUUGGAAUUCCAGCAAGUACAUGCAAGGACUAUUUGACUGCUUUAUGACAGUGCAUUUGUGCCAUAGUUUGCAGGCAUAACAGGUUGAGAGGUUCUCUUCUUGUUCAAUUUGCAGCUUAACAUCUAGAAUGACUAAAGGACAACACAUUUUGAGUAUUACAUAUGCAGUUCACACUAAACAUAUGUAAUGCCAUAUGGUUAUUGGACAGUGAUCAACAUUUUUAUUAAGGAAACUACUAGGACUAAUAUUAGUUGUGAAUUGGUGUAUGCAUUAUAUUGUGUCAUCAAAAGAGGAAAGAAACAAAGUAAGAUGAAACAACAAAAUAAAAAACAACAAACUGAGCCUAAAAAAAGUCAAAACAUCUCUAUUAAAUUUAUGUCUGUACAAUAGUUUGUAAUGGCUGUAAUGAAGCUCAUACAGGUUAUACAAUUAAUAGUGUAGUAGCAUGCAUAUUGCUGUUUUCUAUAUAUACUCGUAGUCGUUAGAAAGAAAUCUAUGCUCUUACUAUAUGUAUAACAUGAGAUUUCUGCAUUGCAGUGAUUCUUAAAGCUUUGAAAGCACAAAUGUAUGUCUCCAUUUAUAGCAAAACCCCCAGUUUUUCUUUUUUUUAAUUUUAAAAUGCAUUAAAGCAUUUCUGACUUCCCCAAGCAUUUCUGACUUUUUCUCUCACUCUCUAUUCCAUAUAGAUAAGUAUAAGUGAGCUAAGACAUAGGAUAAGCUUCAGCAUUUUAUUUUGGUAGCAAGUUGUGUUUGGUUUGUUUUUUCUCCUUCUUUAUAUUGUAUAAUUAUUAUGUUUAUAUUGAUUUUUACUGUUCUAUAUUACAGUUUUACUGAUACUAUAUGAUUUAGGCCUACAUAUGUAAGUUAGCAUGAGUCAUGCCAAGUUUCCAUUUUGUUUGUCAAGUCUCCAUCUUGUCCCCAUGCUCUGUGGUCUGAAUCUAUGACUCAUACCUACCCCUCCUACGUAACUUGGUUCCUGAAUGAAUGGGGAUGAAUGAGGGUGCUUGAGAGACAAUGGCAGUAGGUCUAAAAAUAGCUCCCUCUGAAUGACUGAACCUUCAACACCAAUACCUGGAUGAACAACCCAGCCAUUGGAACCAUUCUCAGCAUUCAAGAAACAAAAGAUGAGGCAACCCACCAUUGUGCCAAGGCUGCACAUGCUCAGUAAGAACACCUGGAGCCCUCUGGAACAGGACUGACCUUGCCUGGACAGGCCCUUCUCAUAGGAGAUCAGAGGUAGUCUGCCCCAUAAAAGGGAUAGUGAAGACUGACUCUUUGGGACUCCCUCUCCAUCUGGACCAGCACAAUGCCACACCACCUAUCCACCCAGAGGCCCUGCCGGCAAACCCCCUCUGGACAAUACCUGCUGGACAAGGACCCCUUUCCAGCCUGGAUAGGUAGCUAUCACCCCCACCCGCUCUUCAACCAAGGACUUGGACUCUGUUUCUCUUCCCUACCUGGACUCCAACACUUCCACUGAGUCUCUUUCUUCUACUGCCAUUGUGAGUGUGAGUGUGUGUGUGUGUGUGUGUGAACCAAUAACCUCAUGGGGCUGUGUAGUGUGUUGUUUGUUUAAUAAACCUGUUAUUUGGAAACCGUGA